rnacentral:rRNA from 1 species
CCUACGGGUGGCAGCAGUGGGGAAUAUUGGGCAAUGGACGCAAGUCUGACCCAGCAACGUCGCGUGAAGGAAGAAGGCUCUCGGGUUGUAAACCUCUUUUAAGGGGGAAGAGCAGAAGACGGUACCCCUUGAAUAAGCCACGGCUAACUACGUGCCAGUAGGCGCGGUAAUACGCAGGUGGCAAGCGUUGACCGGAUUUACUGGGUGUAAAGGGCGUGAAGCCGGGGAGACAAGGCAUGUGGGAAAUCCCCGGGCUCAACCCGGGACCUGCAGUUGAAACUGGUUCCCUUGAGUGGCGGAGAGGUAAUCGGAAUUCGUGGUGUAGCGGUGAAAUGCGUAGAUAUAAGGAAGAACACCGGUUGCGAAGGCAGAUUACUGGACGAUAACUGACGGUGAGGCGCGAAAGCGUGGGGAGCGAACAGGAUUAGAUACCCGGGUAGUC